GAGUCUUAUGUUCCAAAUUUUACACAAGACAGGCAAAAUCAGUAGUAUUAUGCGAAAGCAUAGCAUCUAUGUAUGGACCAAAUCAUCAUCAACACAUAUGAAACAUUUCGAUUCUACCUCUCAACCUAACAACAACAACAAAUCAAUGGGUUCUUCAUUUUCAUCCCUUUUCUUCUCUAACCCUCGCCCUUUACGCCCUCUUCUAAACCAAUUCCAAUUCCUAUCUCAUUUUUCCUCUUCGCACCCUCAAUUUCUCAGCCAAAUCUACCCCACCCACUUCGUUGCCUCCUCUUCCUCCAGACCCACGCGGAGAAGAAGUCGUUUGUGGUGGAAACGGGAUCGACACACAUAAAAGUAAGGAGAUUUUUUCUUUUCAAAACUUUGAACUACAAAUAGAGAAAUCUAAGGAAUUGCAUCCUUUCCAAAUCUCACGUGCAUUUUAUACUGCAUAUUAGCUUUGGCAAUAACUUAUGUGGCAUAGACCAUUAAUGGAGCACUUGGAUAAGAAGAAAAAAUCUAUCUAUACUAAGAAAAGGAAUAAAAUGAGUGUCUAAAUACUUGUAAAUACCGGCAGAUACGUUUUCUGAAAAGCAAUUUCCCAAAUUUUCAUGGUGCACAACUCGUAUCUCUCGCCACUACUUCAGUCCACAAAUAUCCCAUCAGAUUGACAUGAAACCCAUCUUCCUCUUCUGAUAUGAAACCAAAUUCUGCUUUGCUAAAAAAGUAGAAAUUAGACCAUAAAAUUGAUUUUUUAAGAAAAAACUAAUGAAUUUUCAAUGAUCGAAAAAGAAAUUGUGGAAAGAAAAUUCAUUUUUUGGAAAAUCAAUGAAGUGUUUUGCUUACGAACUGAAGCGAGGUUUUUUUUUUUGUGAAAGAACGGAAGAGAGGUUUUCUCAUUAUCUAUAUAUAUAUAUAUAUAUAUAUAUAUAUAUAGGAGAUUACUCUUUUAAAUCCUAAUUAAUCAUACCUCCAUUGCUUAAACGUUUCAUUAUUUAUUAUUGCACUAUAUUCCUCUUUUUCUUUCCUUUAAAAUUCACUAACUUCUCAAUUUUCAUUAGACAUCUACAAUACUAGAGAAUAUGGCUGCGCUUCACGCGUGCUUUAAAGUAUAUGUAUUUGAUUAAAUUUUCUUUUUGAUUAUUUAAGCAUUUUUUAUAUUAUCUGUAAUAUAAUUAUAUGUUGAUCUGAUGUAGAUUAUAAUUAUAGGAGAAGUAAGGUUAUCAAGUUUAGAGUAAUGGAUAGUAGUAUAUUGUUAGUUAAUAAAUAUAAAAAUAUUGUAUAAAAUCAAUUUAUAUUGUAUAAAAUCUAUUUUAUUUCAUUUCUAUUAUAGGAACCAUAUAUUUGAUAAUAUUUAGUGUAAAUUGAAGAAAGUGAACACGAAGGCUGUUAAAAAAUAUCUCCUCAAUUAGAAUGCUAUUAACAUUAGACAUUUGUAUACCUUGUACUUCGGUGGACAUGAUAGUUAAUGCACAGUUAUUGCAAAUUUUGAGCUUUAGAUGAUUGAAAGCUCAGACUUUCAAUAUAACUGUCAUUAUUUAUAAUUACAAAUUUCAUCUCUAUUGUUUUUUAUAUUUCCACAAUCUGAUCUUGAGGUUAUACCAAAGCUACAUGAGCAGUCUCAUACUGAAAUAAAUAACAUCAACAGAAAGCAUUUAGCACUUGGUAUCAACAUGCAUGUUGCCCUUAGUUUUCAAAAUUGUUGCUGCGCAGAUCUAGUCUAGUUGAGCUGGAGUUGAAAAAAUUUAGUGAAAUAAUUUGGAAUAUGCUAAUUUUAUUUCCUAAGAACCAAUUAAGCAUGUCACUUAUACCUAUGUUAGUUUCUUAAUUCAUAUACUAAAAUAAUAUUAAUUGUGUUUUACAAUUUCGAUUAUUGAUCAUUAUAUAUUAUUUAAGAUACAUCUAAACAUUCAAAUGAGAGAGGACCAGAGAAAUCCUGAAUGCACCCAUCCGAAAAAGAUAAUUUGCUAAAAGCUUUGAUCUCUGCUUAAAUAAAACGCCGUUGGGACUAUUUUUGUGCUUACUAUAAGUGCCUAGUUUUUCUCUUGUAAUCUCCACUCUGAUGAUCCAAACUUUAUCUAUUGUGCUGCAAGUAAACCUGAAAAUGAGUAUUUUCUAUUGUGAUCUUCUCUACUAACUAAGAGUUGAGGUGUAGUCAAAUGACACAUUAGACAAUCCAUAUCAUUCAGUAUUUGUUUUAUUAUUUCACCAAAAUUUCACAUUGGUAUUAGGUUACCCCAAUAGAGAUGGUGGUUAAGGACGAACCUCACACUUCUCUUCAAUACAUUAGACGUUACAACACCAGAAGUCAACAUAUAAUAAAACUCCACUGCUUUCGUACUACAGUCUAGUUGUUUCGCCUUUUCAAGUUUGGCUCCAAUCUCUACGAGCUCAGCAACAACUUCUUGGACUGAGCCACCAGCUUAAGGUUAUUUUUGAAAACAAAAUAAAUUCCAAUAAUUUAGAGUUUAAUUAUAGAAAAUUUCAAUAUUUUACAUAAUUACUGAACAAUUCAAUUUUGGGUCUGUCGAGAUUCCGACUUAGUUCUCAAUACAUCCCACGAAGAUACAUUUCUUCCUUUAUAAUGAUACAUAAUUAGCUCCUAAUACAUUUUUUUUUUUAUUUAGGCCAAUCAAGAUACAUAAUACAUCCAACACAGAUGCAUUUUUUCUUUGUAUAUAUACAUAAUUAGCUCUCGAUAUUUUUUUUUUUUCGAUUUUGAAUUUGUCGAGAUACAUAAUUAGCUCCAGGUACAUCCAAUGAAGAUACACAAUUAGUUGAGAUUUUUGUAAUGUACUUUAUAAGGGUGGAGAUUUGUGUAAAUUUAAUAAGUUAAAAAUGUGUUUAUGUUAUUUUUCCUGUUAACAAAGGCCAUCUCCAUAAGCAUUUUGGAAGGGAAUAAUUCCAUUCGAAUAAUAUUUAAAUGGACAAUGACAAGUCACUAUUAAAGCAAUGUCCAUGUACAAAUUCCAAGUAAAUGAGAAAAAAAUAAAAUCUUUUAGACGCCAUAUUGAGAUCCCUUCAUAUUUAAUUAUAAGGCUCAAGUAGGAGUCUUCAAAUGAAAAACUUCAUAAUAAGCCUUUCGAUGUAAAUCCAAAUUAGUCGAACCAGUAAAUUUCAUAUCGUCACCUUUUUUAUUACCUCGGGCUUGUGUGGUUUUCUAGCUUCCUAUUCUCUCUUCUUUGUCGUCGUUGUAGUUUCUUACUCUGCUGCAUUUUCUUUAGAUGAAACUAUGGUAAUUAGUUGCAGACUGCAACAUCCUUUG
rnacentral:lncRNA from 1 species